AUCUUCAAAAUAAAACUUUAUUCGGUAACAAGAACAUUGAAUCUGCGCAUCAGUGCACAAGUUCACAUUUAAAAACAGCUGAGCACAUCGGUCAUAAAGUCUUUAGGGGGGAAGGGGACGAUCCCAGCCACCAAGGAAGAUCCAGGAGGAGCAGACGGAAGCGCCCCCCGGUUUGCAACUCCAGCACCAGCCACCCCCGAGGUGAUCCCUACGCACCAGCACGGACGUCACAUCUCCAUAAAGGAAAAUAAAAGGCACUGGCACCACCUUUUGUGCCAACAGAGAUGUCUGCAGCGCGGGCGGGCUGUUAGCACCUCUGGCAGCACUGCUGGAGGGUGACCAAGAGCCUGGACCCCUCCCGUGCCAGGCCAGCGCCUGCCUCUGUCCCACACCAGCAAGGGCUUGGGGGGGUCCCUCCCUUAGGGAGAAGCAUGGGGGGGGUGCAUGGAGCUGGGACCAGAUUAAGGCAGGACGCACCAUGAUGGGAGCAGGGGACCUGCAGUGGGUAUGGCUUCCUCCUUCUGCUGGGCUGGGAGAGUGCUUGGAGCCGGGAGCAGCAGCAGUGCCCCAGUGCCAAUCCCCCCCUCCCAGGAGCUCCCCGGAGCAGCUGGAGCUGCGCUGGGUUCCCUUCCACCAGCCCUUCGCUGGCAAAGGGACACGGAGCUAACCCCUGCCCCAUCACCUCCCGACCCCCUCCUGCCACCGCGCUGGGACCGUGCCCCCAGGAAAGGGCUGAAAGGAGAUUUGUACAGGUCACAACUUCUCAAGCAGACCAGACACACACACACACACACCACCGAGUGCAACAGAACAGUGUACAAACCAGGUUCACACACACACGAUCCGUUUGUGCAAGGCUCACACGUUACAGUACAGCCGGAGCCGGGGCGGGCGAGGGGAGGCGAUGGCUGAGAUAUUGUACAGGAGUCAAUGUAAACAACGCAGCGUCCUCCGAGAGGGCUUCGCAAGACCAAAAGAACAGUUGCUUUGUACAAAAAUGCCCUUAAAACAACACGUUUCGCCUAAAACCCCUCUAUCAGCAAGGCCUGAGCUCCCCGGGGUGCUCAGCGGGUCACAAGAAGCUCUCAUGGGGUGGCCAAAGGAACUGGAGUGAACCACCACACAUCCAUGAGCCAUCAGUGUGAAGGGACAACCAUCCCCAGGCAGAGACCUCUGAUGCCAGGGGCUUGGUGGCUUUAUUGCCCAGAGACCGGAGAGCUGCAUGUGACAUGUCCCUCCAGCCCCUUCCCCUUUCUGCCAUCCCGGUCUGAGCCUCCAUCCAGCCCUCCAACACCUUCACAGCUCUGCAAUGGAACCACCUUCCCCAACUCCCUUCGAUUAAAACCACAGAUUAAAACCAGAGCCAUGCUGGGACAGAGCUGAGCCCUUUGGCUGCUCUCCCCAGCUGAAGCACUCAGACAGCAGUAGAGUAGUGGAAGGAAGCAGCAUUUCUGGUCUGCAUGGAAGAGCCUUUCUAUAGGGAAUUUCUCCUGAGAUCAAGCUGGGCAAAGAAACCAGCUUCCCUUCCUCCUCCUCCCUUCUCAAGGGAACAAAUUACACACAGAGCUUUCCCCUCCCAAGCAGAUCCUUGUCACCAGGAGAUGCAGCCAGCCACGCACGCUGCUCCCUCCAACGCAGGGCAGGCCUGGUGGCACCCUGUCCCUUCCAAGGAGCAGGCAGAUGUGUCCUUGGGAAUGGUGGGCAGUGGGGUCUGGGGAGGUUUAUGGGGGAGGCAAGGCCUGGAAUUGUCCUUCACACGAUGACAUGAGCCACUUGGCCUUUCCACAGUGCUUGCCCAGCUCCGGAGCCAGCUGGAGCUGGCUAGGAGAAGCCAAAUGUCUUUCCAUGUCCCAAAGAAGUAUCUGGCCUCCUGGGCGAGGGACUUGGGUGGCUUCUAGUGACCGAAAUGGCCUGCAAUGACGUGCUAUGUGACCCAAGCUGGGCUACUUCGGGCUGUGCUCCAGCCCGCAGCUAGCACGGGUGACAGAGCCCAAGCUCCUUGGGAAGGAGGGAUGAAGCACGUGCUACUGCUGGAGGACAGACACACAGCCCCAUGCUGUGGGAAUGGGGGACAAUCCUUGGGAGCUACAGGAGAGCAGGGAGGUGGGAUCCUCACCUGUGGGGUUAUGGACACCCCUUCCCCAGGGCAGACACAUGCUGCUUCCCAAUACUCCACAGCACUCCGGUGCCGUGCAUUCCUCUCCAGCUCAAGCUGAGCUUGUCCCAUCGGAGCCUGCAGCAUCAGCACCGCUUUCUAGGCACAGCCUUGUCUGCUGCUCCUCCCACCCCGUGUCCUCUCCAUGCUGGGCUUUCAGCAGCUGGAGCCAUUCUGCAGCUUCUCUGUGCUUCGCUCCUCCCCGGAGGGCAGAUCUGGGCUAAAGCCAAGCACCAGCUCACACAAUCUUCUGUCAUAGACCUUCCACAGGCCUGCAGACAGGACCCAGAGCUCUCCAAGUGCCUUCCUACAGCACACAUACAAGUGGCUGAUAUGCACGGCUAGUAAUGAGGAGCUUUGAUCUAACCAAACUGCUCAGGAACCACAAAACCAUUUACUGGAGGUUCAUUUCCCUGGAGAACACAGGGAAGCAAGAACCUGCAGAAUGGCUCAGAGCAGCCCAUGGCUUUCCACAUCCAACUGGCACUUCUGAAACCCAGCUUCCAGCAGGAGGGAGAGGGGCAGAUACACGGUCCCCCUCCUGAUGGGGGUUCACACAGGACUGGAGGAGAAGGGACACAUUUGGCAAAGGCUGGCAUGGAGGCUCACUUCUGGAAAAGGAAGACAGGUUCCAACAUCAAAUCCACUCCCAUUUCUGGGCAGAUUACAAUGAACAGCACUGAGUUUGAGUAAGGUGGGUUUGUUUUCCAGUUUACAGAAUGCAGUCUUGCCCUUUGUAAAAAAAAAAAAACCCAAAACCAAAACAUAGAAAUAACAAAAAAACCCAAAACAAAACAAAAAAACCCCAAACCUCCAUAAAUAUCAUAUAUCCAAUUUACGCCAAAAAAAAUAAAGGGAAAAAGAAUCCAGAAAAGCUCUUCCCUCCAGGUGCUGGGAGUGACACAGCAGAGAGGACAAAGCUUUGCAUUCAGCAGGGGCAACGCAUCGUGUAACAACAGGUUUGGGAGUGCCCAGAAGUGCCCGUGAGCAGAGGGGAGAGGAAAACUCAGGCAGCACGAGGAGACAAGAAUGACUCUCAGGCAGAGGGGAGGCAGCAGGAGAGCAGAGGACAGAUGAUAUGGCCAUGAACUUGGAAGGCCCACAGCAGUAUUCAAGUAAUGGGAGGGUUUAAACCCUAACGAGGCGUUUGUUUUAAAAGAACACUCUGGCUUUGGGGGGUCUCCUCCUCUCAC
rnacentral:lncRNA from 1 species